GGGGAAUAUUGGACAAUGGGGGCAACCCUGAUCCAGCCAUGCCGCGUGAGUGAUGAAGGCCUUAGGGUUGUAAAGCUCUUUCAGUGGUGAAGAUAAUGACGGUAACCACAGAAGAAGCCCCGGCUAACUUCGUGCCAGCAGCCGCGGUAAUACGAAGGGGGCUAGCGUUGUUCGGAUUUACUGGGCGUAAAGCGCACGUAGGCGGAUAUUUAAGUCAGGGGUGAAAUCCCGGAGCUCAACUCCGGAACUGCCUUUGAUACUGGAUAUCUAGAGACCGAGAGAGGUAAGUGGAACUCCUAGUGUAGAGGUGGAAUUCGUAGAUAUUAGGAAGAACACCAGUGGCGAAGGCGGCUUACUGGCUCGGAACUGACGCUGAGGUGCGAAAGCGUGGGGAGCAAAC
rnacentral:rRNA from 1 species